GAGAAAUUCACGAAAGACCCACAAUACCAGAAAUGUCUUUCAUCUAGAAUAAGAUCCAAAAUCAACAAGACUAUAAAUAACAUUUUUGAAAAAGCUGAGAGCCUAAAAUUUACACUCCAAAGACGACAUACUAAAGAUUAUGAAGGCUCCCUGGCAGAUAAG